rnacentral:lncRNA from 1 species
UUCAAAAAUAUCCAACAAAAUUUUGAUCAUAAUUCAAUUAAUGGACAAUUGACGGAUGAACGUGAAUGGAUUGUCGGUAUCAUACAAUUCUACACUAAUACAAUUAAUUUUGUAGAUUUAAUAAAAUCGUGUUACGAAUCAGCUUAUAUAUUCGAAGGAUUAAUAACAUUGAUUAUUAUUAUGGUCGAUUAUGUUUACUUAUUUGAAAUACUUUCUUUUACCUUAAAUACGAGAGAAGGAUUAGAAAAGCUAUCUUAUGUCAUUGGAUCUUUGAUUGUAAUAUUUACUUAUAAUCAUCUUGGACAAAAAUUAAUUGACAAUCAUACAGAUGUUUAUACAAAACUCUGUCAAAUUCCGUUUUACUCUUUAUCAUUAAAAACACAAAAGAUGUUACUAUUUUUGAUAAUGAGAAGCAUAAGACCCUGUAAUCUUUCUGCAAAAGGAGUAAUCGUAAUAUCCCACGAUCUUUUUGCAGCGUUUAUGCGAACGUCAUUUUCAUACGUCAUGGUAUUUUCUAAUUUUUGAAUGAAAUCACAUUUACAUGUAGUAUUGCAUUAAAUAGUUAUAUGUAAUUGUUUUAAACAAAAUUCUAAAUAUAUGUAUAAAAAAUCUUUAACUAAGAUAAAACCCGUUAAGAAAAAAAGAUGAAUAUUUACCCGAUAUAAAAACAAGUAGAUACAGGUAAUUGUCAUAACAGUCGUAUCAAGUUAACGAUAAUGCGUUACGUUCAAGCGACAAAUGUAAACUGCACGAGAAUAUGAUGAUAAAAAAAAAGCUUUUUCGUAACGCGCAUGUCUUCGAAAGAGGGGGGAGGAAAGAUUUUGAAUAUGCAAAGGUAGAUUGGAAAAUUACUUAAUAACUGUGAAAAUGACACCUGCACGGUUAUAUAUAAUUGAUCGAAAAAGGGGGAGAGAAAAGCAAUGGAUAAUGUGACAGAGACUAUACCAUUAAAAAUUGAUUAUUAGAAUACUUAAUGAAUUUACAAAGCAUGGGGUUGAAGUCAUUCAGAAUCAGAGUGUUGCAACAUACGGUAACAUGUUUUUAAAAGAUGAAGACUGUAUUCGAAACGAAUACUAUUCUUACAAUUGUUUAUUUUUCAAAUUAAUUGGUUUAUGUAAAUUUCAAUCAAAAUCCAAGCAAUUGAUUUACGUUAGUUUGUUAAAUUUGUCAAUAUUAAUUGCUUCAUUAGGACAGAUAGCUACGCUAUUUAAUUCGGAACUUCAAAUAAGUUACAUUGUAAAAUUAUUGGAAACAACUCUGCCAACAUUAUGUUUUGGAUUUUGUUAUUACAAUCUAUUAUUGAAUAGUCAAAUUAUGGGUCAAAUUUUGAAUCGUAUCAAUUGCGAUUGGAACGAAUUAGAAAAUAAACCGGAGUUUGUAAUAUUAAAGGAUUAUGCACGUGUAAGCAGAAGAUGUUCAAUUACAAUUGCACGUAAG